GUCCUUUUGUUAUUUAUUUAAGGUCUAACCUGCCCACUGAAUUUUUAAUGGCCGCGGUAUUUUGACCGUGCAAAGGUAGCAUAAUAAUUUGUCUUUUAAUUGAAGGCUUGUAUGAAUGGUUGGACGAAAAUAUAACUUUCUUUAUUUAAUAAUUAUGAAUUUAAUUUUUUAGUCAAAAAGCUUAAAUUUAAUUAUAGGACGAGAAGACCCUAUAGAACUUUAUAAUUUAUUUUUUAAUUUUUAUUUGGUUAAUUAAUUUAUAUUAUUUAAUUUAUUAUUUUGUUGGGGCGACAAUAAAAUUUUAAUAACUUUUAUUAAUUUAAUCAUUGAUUUAUGUUUUUAUGAUCCUAUAUUAUAGAUUAUUAGAUUAAGUUACCUUAGGGAUAACAGCGUUAUUUUUCUGGAGAGUUCAUAUCGAUAGAAGAGUUUGCGA
rnacentral:rRNA from 1 species